rnacentral:ncRNA from 1 species
CUCUGUGGUUUAAUCUUUAGGCCACAUUAAACUCCUUUAAUUCGGUGAAACUCCAAACGUGAAAGUCGCGGACAAUACCGAGCGAAUGUUUAUUUACCAGAAAUUUUGAGAGCAUUACCCCAACAUUGAAGAAAUACUUGCUGGUAAAUAAAAAACGUGUAACGACUAUCGAAAGCGUUCAAGCAGACUGAAAUGUCUGCUUUUUUGUGCGAUGAGUAGAGUAAGCCUUAAGUGAGGCUGAAAGAGGGAGGACUGUUUAGCAGUCAAUAUAUAGUCUGAACUGUAUGGAAACAUACAG